CUUUUUUUUUUUUUUCGGUUCACUUCCCCAUUGAUAUUUCACCUUUUGGUUAAUGCAGAAGUGACAUUUUCUUGCACUUCUGAAUCUAUCAAUGGAGAAAUUAAAGUAACGUUUAAUUCCUGCCAGAUAUAUUCUAAGAAUACAAGUGAACUAUUGCCUUGUAGGAAAUUUAGGAGUUCAACAUUUUUAAUGAUUGGUUGACUGUUUGAGUGUUGAAUCUAGAGAAUCUCUGUUUUAAUAAGUUGGUAUAUUGUGUUCUCUGUUUUGCAUUUGGUAACCCACUGGAAAGUCAUAACAAAUAUAAAGAACUCAUUCUUUACCAAUUGACCAUUUAUCAGGGGAAAAAAAAUCCUUAAAUCAGUGUUCAGUGAUGCAAUAAUAAAUGUAAUCAUAAAAUGAGACUUGUGCAUGAAAUGAUAGGACAGAUACUUGAUGAGAAAAUGACAUACUGCUGCUGAUUGUGUCUGGACAGCUGUAUGGUCUUCUAGACAAAUGCAUCCAAUUGAGUGCGGCAUCUAUUGAAAAUGCUUAUUGAAAUUUAGAAUUAUGACAAAACCCUGUUAACUACCUUUGCCUUAACAAUUUCACCAUCAGUGAGAAUUUCAUCUGGAAUAAGGUUUUGUGUUCUUAUGCACCCAGAGGUCUUCAUCACAUUUUUCAGCAUGUCCUAUAAAAUCUUAGGCUUGGUCACUGUCUACAGCAUCUAUGACAUAAAGUUUGUUAAACAGAAGGCAAUGAUAGUUCAUAAUCUACAGCCUUACAGAGUUUAGGGUAUGGAAAUAGUUGGCUUCUGGGGCUUGUCCUGCGGGUAGCAGAAUUCAUCUACUGAAUUAUGCUGUGUCAUUUCUUUGUAUUAAAAAUGUGGUUCAACUAGUAUCAACAGACAAGUAUUGUCAAGAUUAGUUUGGAUUCAUUGUGCCAAGGAUCACUAGUUAGAUUCGAAGAUUAGUCUGCUGCUGCUAGAGGCACUGAGAAACCAAGAUAUAAUGCAAUUGGCUAGCGUAGCAUGGUGGUUUGGGUUACCAUCACUUUCUGCAAUGGGUUUAAGGCUGCAAAAUUGGAGUCAACUAAUGCUCCAACUAUAAUUGGGAAUUGUAGCAUCAUCAGUUAGCAGGGAGAGAGAGAGAGAGAGAG
rnacentral:misc_RNA from 1 species